CCCAGUAUCACAGAAUGGUUUAAGUUGGAAGGGACCUCUGAAGAUCAGCCAGUCCAAUCCCCCUGCUCAAGCACAGUGACCUAGAGCAUAUUGCCCAGGACCAUAUCCUGACUGGUUUUGAAUAUCUCCAGGGAA